AACGAACGCUGGCGGCAGGCUUAACACAUGCAAGUCGAACGGGUGUAGCAAUACAUCAGUGGCAGACGGGUGAGUAACACGUGGGAACCUUCCUAGGGGUACGGAACAACUCAGGGAAACUUGAGCUAAUACCGUAUACGUCCGUAAGGAGAAAGAUUUAUCGCCCUUAGACGGGCCCGCGUCGGAUUAGCUAGUUGGUGGGGUAAUGGCUCACCAAGGCGACGAUCCGUAGCUGGUCUGAGAGGAUGACCAGCCACACUGGGACUGAGACACGGCCCAGACUCCUACGGGAGGCAG
rnacentral:rRNA from 1 species